rnacentral:rRNA from 1 species
GACGAACGCUGGCGGCGUGCUUAACACAUGCAAGUCGAACGGAAAGGCCUGCUUUCCCUUGUGGAUUGCGGGUACUCGAGUGGCGAACGGGUGAGUAACACGUGAGUGAUCUGCCCCCAACUUGGGUAUAAGCCUGGGAAACUGGGUCUAAUUCCCGAUAGGACUGCAGGGUGGGGCCGGUGGUGGAAACCGUUUUUCUAGGGGUUGGGGAUGAGCCCGCGGCCUAUCAGCUUGUUGGUGGGGUAAUGGCUUACCAAGGCGGCGACGGGUAGCCGGCCUGGGAGGGUGGACGGCCACAUUGGGACUGAGAUACGGCCCAGACUCCUACGGGAGGCAGCAGUGGGGAAUAUUGCACAAUGGGCGGAAGCCUGAUGCAGCGACGCCGCGUGGGGGAUGACGGCCUUCGGGUUGUAAACUCCUUUCGACCGCGAGGAAGCCACCUGGUUGGAAGGGUGGUGACGGUAGUGGUAGAAGAAGCACCGGCUAACUACGUG